UUAGACUCUUAUGCCGAAUACGAUCAAAUGUCGAUUUAUAUUCAAUGCGGACGCGGAGAUCCCCCAAAGAUACGCCACUUCCUGGCCAUUUUAAAAUCGCUGGCUUUGUUAUUUUUAUGUUUUGUUUAAGUCCGACCGGUCAAGCAUAAUAUCGUGAUAUUAAAAAAUGGUUUUUAAAUGGGGUCUCGUGGCCAUUUUUUGCUGUUUGGUGGCCGCCAAUAUGGCUAAGGAGGUUGGCUUGAAAAAGGAAAGAGUGGUAAGAUCUGCCUUACCGCAAAUACCGUCUGUACCAGGCUUACCGCCCUUCAAUCAGUUUGAUGCCAUUUUGAAAGCGGCCCAAGAAGCCAUUAAGCUUUUGCAACAAAUACCAAGACCUGGACUUGGCUAAAAGAUUAAUUUACCACAAUUAUUGUUAAUAAAGUGUUUAUUAUUAUAUUUAAA